ACAGCAGCCGCCACGGUAAUACAGAGGGUGCGAGCGUUAAUCGGAUUUACUGGGCGUAAAGCGUGCGUAGGCGGCUUCUUAAGUCGGAUGUGAAAUCCCUGAGCUUAACUUAGGAAUUGCAUUCGAUACUGGGAAGCUAGAGUAUGGGAGAGGAUGGUAGAAUUCCAGGUGUAGCGGUGAAAUGCGUAGAGAUCUGGAGGAAUACCGAUGGCGAAGGCAGCCAUCUGGCCUAAUACUGACGCUGAGGUACGAAAGCAUGGGGAGCAAACAGGAUUAGAUACCCCUGUAGUCCCUGUCUCUUAUAU
rnacentral:rRNA from 1 species